CGGGGCGCUGCAGCAGUGGGGAAUAUUGCACAAUGGGCGCAAGCCUGAUGCAGCCAUGCCGCGUGUAUGAAGAAGGCCUUCGGGUUGUAAAGUACUUUCAGCGGGGAGGAAGGGAGUAAAGUUAAUACCUUUGCUCAUUGACGUUACCCACAGAAGAAGCACCGGCUAACUCCGUGCCAGCAGCCGCGGUAAUACGGAGGGUGCAAGCGUUAAUCGGAAUUACUGGGCGUAAAGCGCACGCAGGCGGUUUGUUAAGUCAGAUGUGAAAUCCCCGGGCUCAACCUGGGAACUGCAUCUGAUACGGGCAAGCUUGAGUCUCGUAGAGGGGGGUAGAAUUCCAGGUGUAGCGGUGAAAUGCGUAGAGAUCUGGAGGAAUACCGGUGGCGAAGGCGGCCCCCUGGACGAAGACUGACGCUCAGGUGCGAAAGCGUGGGGAGCAAACAGGAUUAGAUACCCCGGUAGUC
rnacentral:rRNA from 1 species